CUGCAUGAUAGAGGCGCGGCAGCCAAAAGUAGCGUUUCCCAACAGCGGGCCUAGAGGGGAACGGGAAAGGGACUGCCGCCGAGGUUUUGUUUUCCGUAGCCUGACGGAAGAUGGAGCCGGGCCGGCGGAGAACAUCCGCCGGACUGUCGCCCUGUGGGGCGGAGCGCUGUCGUGAUU
rnacentral:ncRNA from 2 species